UACGUAGGGACCGAGCGUUGUCCGGAUUCAUUGGGCGUAAAGAGCUCGUAGGCGGCCACUCAAGUCGAAUGUGAAACCUCGAGGCUUAACCUCGAGCCUGCAUUCGAUACUGGGCGGCUAGAGUCUGGUAGGGGGAUCUGGAAUUCCUGGUGUAGCGGUGGAAUGCGCAGAUAUCAGGAGGAACACCGGUGGCGAAGGCGGGAUCCUGGGCCAGUACUGACGCUGAGGUACGAAAGCGUGGGGAGCAAACAGG
rnacentral:rRNA from 1 species